rnacentral:misc_RNA from 1 species
ACAUUUUCGAGCCAAAAGUGUGAAACGCCUAUGCGGGGAAAUCAGUCCACCGGACUGAUUUCCGAUCCCGCUUCGAUGCGUGGGAUAAUGCGGCAAAACAAAUAGUGAGAGCGGUUCCAGCGAUUCUGUUAAAACAGGAACCGCUCUGGCGCGGUU